CACCUGCCACGGUGUUUCUUAUUUGUCAUCUGUGAUCCCUCUGAGUGUGUCCUAAAAGCCAGAGGAGGGUCUUAAUCUUAUCACUCUGCAUACCCGGUUAAAAAAGUCACCGCUCGCCACUGGUGUAUUGUCCCAAAGAAACCAGACCAGAACCAGACCAAGGUUUUAUAGUCGUUUUUCAGCGUUUCUUCUUGUUACGUGAAUAUUUCAGGUGUUUCACAUGUCUCGCACACUUGCCAGGAUCUAGAGCACACAUUGAGAGGAGAAAGGAUUGUUGAGAAAUGUUCAAAAUUUUACCCAUGUUCCUUAUUUUGAUCCAUGUGAGAAACAUGCAAAACGGUACAAUAACGCUCUUACCUGUCCACUAAAAUGGGUCAGGCGCUGCAGUGUUAUGAGUGCAAACUGGGUUUCUGGUAUCUUUGCAUUACAAGCAAAAAGACGUGAUGCUGGUAAGCACUGCUUCAGCGGAAUAGGGAAAGCUGGUGGAUUAGUGGAUAUUAAGAUGAAAGGAUGUCUUGAAGUGUCCAAUUGCAACAAAACUGUAGAGGCGAAUUUCCCGUCCAAUUCAAGCACCAAGGUACUGUAUACCAAAUGAAGAAGACGUGCUGCUCUACUGACCUGUGUAACUCGGCUCCGGGUCACUUUCACAUGUCUGCCGUCAGCAUGGCCUUCGCUACCAUCAGCUCUGUGUUCACGGUCAAAUUCCUCAUUUGAGGAGGAUUAUUUCAGCUCACACACAAUAAAUAUAUAUAUACAACAACAUCACUGAGCAAAUCAUGCAUACUAAACAAGCCAAAUUAAUUUGUUGCAAAAUAAUUUAUGGAAUGAAUACUCAAGAUAGGUCACACACUGGAAUUUAAAAAG